UCCGCUAAGUGUGCAUAGCUGAUCCGAG
rnacentral:piRNA from 1 species